rnacentral:rRNA from 1 species
UUUUAUGAGAGUUUGAUCCUGGCUCAGGACGAACGCUGGCGGCGUGCCUAAUACAUGCAAGUCGAACGCUUCUUUUUCCACCGGAGCUUGCUCCACCGGAAAAAGAGGAGUGGCGAACGGGUGAGUAACACGUGGGUAACCUGCCCAUCAGAAGGGGAUAACACUUGGAAACAGGUGCUAAUACCGUAUAACAAUCAAAACCGCAUGGUUUUGAUUUGAAAGGCGCUU